rnacentral:rRNA from 1 species
UACGUAGGGUGCAAGCGUUGUCCGGAAUUAUUGGGCGUAAAGAGCUCGUAGGCGGCCUGUCGCGUCGGGAGUGAAAGCCCACUGCUUAACGGUGGGUCUGCUUCCGGUACGGGCGGGCUGGAGUAUGGCAGGGGAGACUGGAAUUCCUGGUGUAGCGGUGGAAUGCGCAGAUAUCAGGAGGAACACCGGUGGCGAAGGCGGGUCUCUGGGCCAUUACUGACGCUGAGGAGCGAAAGUGUGGGGAGCGAACAGG